ACUUCCUUGGUUCCGGACACAGUCCACGCAGUAACUUGUUUUUGCAGAGACUGAUAGGCGGAUCGGGCGUGGCCCGAGCGCGCCCCACUCAGGGAAAGCUGCCGUCCCUCUUUGCCUUUGAGCGCCGCAGCCCUGAGAAUCGCAUCUGGCUUGGAAACGGUCCCAGGACUGGAGCCACCAAGAAAGCCGAAGGCAGUCGCGAAGAGCCGAGGACGCCCAGAGACUCUGCGGCUUCCGGGAAGCGGAACCGAGCCUACCCGGAAGGAGCCAACCUCACCUGAGGCUCGCUGAGCACCGGCAGGCGUUAAACCUAACGGAGCCCACGUCAUGGCGGCAGACGGGACAGGGGUAGUCGGAGGAGGGGCUGUCGGCGGCGGCCUGCCCAAGGACGGUUUGCAGGAUGCUAAGUGCCCAGAGCCAAUCCCCAAUCGGCGGCGCGCUUCCUCGCUGUCCCGUGACGCGCAGCGCCGAGCCUAUCAGUGGUGCCGGGAGUACCUGGGCGGGGCCUGGCGCCGAGCGCGGCCGGAGGAGCUGAGCGUUUGUCCCGUGAGCGGAGGCCUCAGCAACCUGCUCUUCCGAUGCUCACUACCGAACCACGUACCCAGUGUGGGCGGGGAGCCCCGGGAGGUGCUGCUACGACUCUACGGGGCCAUCCUGCAGGGUGUAGACUCCUUGGUAUUAGAAAGCGUGAUGUUCGCCAUUCUCGCAGAGCGGUCUCUAGGGCCCCAGCUUUACGGAGUGUUUCCAGAGGGCCGCUUGGAACAGUACCUCCCAGUAAGAGCCCAGUUUUUGUUGUUUUUACCCCAAGUCUUUACCCUUCCCAAAGUCUGCCUUCACAUCCCAGGUAGGGAAAUUUCCCUAAGACCUUGAUCUCCUCCCAUCCCGUAUCCCUUCCCCCUCCCGCCCCAGCCCCCUCACCACCCUGAUAGGUUACUGGGUACAGAGCCGGCCGUUGAAAACUCAAGAGCUCCGGGACCCAGUGUUGUCGGGAGCCAUUGCAACGAGGAUGGCCCGUUUCCAUGGUAUGGAGAUGCCCUUCACUAAGGAGCCCCGAUGGUUGUUUGGGACCAUGGAGCGGUACCUGAAGCAGAUCCAGGACUUGCCUUCCACCAGCCUUCCCCAGAUGAACCUGGUAGAGAUGUACAGCCUCAAGGACGAGAUGAACAGCCUCAGGAAGUUACUAGACGAUACCCCGUCACCAGUGGUCUUCUGCCACAAUGACAUCCAGGAAGGAAACAUCUUGUUGCUUUCAGAGCCAGACAGUGAUGAUAACCUCAUGUUGGUUGAUUUUGAGUACAGUAGUUAUAACUACAGGGGCUUUGACAUUGGGAAUCAUUUUUGUGAGUGGGUUUAUGAUUAUACUUAUGAAGAAUGGCCUUUCUACAAAGCAAGACCCACGGACUACCCCACUAGAGAACAGCAGCUCCAUUUUAUUCGCCAUUAUCUGGCAGAGGUUCAGAAGGGUGAGAUCCUCUCCGAAGAGGAACAGAAGAAACGGGAAGAAGAAUUGCUGCUAGAGAUCAGUCGGUACUCCCUGGCAUCUCACUUUUUCUGGGGUCUGUGGUCCACCCUGCAGGCUUCGAUGUCCACUAUAGAGUUCGGCUACUUGGAGUAUGCCCAAUCUCGGUUCCAGUUCUACUUCCAGCAGAAGGGCCAGCUGACGAGUUCCCCAUCAUCCUGAGGAUCCAACCCCACCUCAAGUUUCUCCUGGAGCCUCCGGGGCAGGACCUUGGAGGGAGGGGCAGAGAGCAGACGACCCCCAGAGACGGGGCUGUGCCUCAAAGUGAGACUGUUGUUGAAAUAGCCGACCUCUGUAGCCUUUUCUUAGUACUUGCCCAAGGUGGGCAUCUGAGAGCCCCCCGGGGCUAUGUACUCAAAUAAAUGAACUUCACAAAUAUAAACUUAAACAAAUACAGACUUAA